rnacentral:rRNA from 1 species
CACGUAGGGUGCGAGCGUUGUUCGGAGUUACUGGGCGUAAAGAGUGCGUAGGUGGUGCCCUAAGUCUGUUGUGAAAUCUCCCGGCUUAACUGGGAGGGUGCGGUGGAAACUGGGGUGCUUGAGUGUGGGAGAGGUAAGCGGAAUUCCUGGUGUAGCGGUGAAAUGCGUAGAUAUCUGCAGGAACACCCGUGGCGAAAGCGGCGCGCUGGACCACUACUGACGCUGAGGAACGAAAGCUAGGGGAGCAAACAGG